rnacentral:lncRNA from 1 species
AGAAAAUGAACAACAAAAGGGAGAUAAAAACCCAACAAAAAAACGGUGAAAAACAGCAAUGAAAUGAUCUUUUAUAAUAUGGAAAUUAAUCCAAUUACUCUAAAAUACAGAAGAAAAUUAGAAAAAGCAAUAGGUACAAAAAUCGUUUUUAAUUGGAAAAAUACCCUCUUCAAUCUUUUACGAAACAACAAGGAUAGAUACGAUCUCACAUCUAUACCAGGGGUUUAUGAGGUUCCAUUAUAUGACAAUGAUCAGCAAGAAAAUCUAAGAUACAUAGAAUACACAUCAAGAUCAUUGAAUAAACGGUUAAAAGAGCACAAGAAAGAUGUACAGAAU